CUCAGAUCUGCUGUCAGCAGAACACAGGGCAGCUCUGACUGUGCACGAGCAUUCUGUCUGCAGGCUGUCACGUGGGAUUGAGAGUUGACAGGCUGGAGGAGCUGACAGGAUGAAGAGGAGACCGAGCAGGAGGGGAGGAUUCAAACUGUAAGUAAACUUAUUGAGUGAGUGUGGGUGAUUGAGUGAGUGUGGGUGGGUGGGUGACUGAGGGUGAGAGAGUGAGAGGGAGUGAAAGAGUGGGAGGGAGGGAGCGAGAGGGAGAUAGAUAAAUAAAUAGAAAUAGAUAGUUAGAAAUAGAUAUAGAUAGAAAUAAAUAGACAAAGAGAGAUACAUAGCUAUAGAUAGAAAGAAAUAGAUAGACAGAAAUAGAUACAUAGAUAUAGAUAAAGAUAUAGAUAGAUAAAGAUAGAAACAGAUAGAUAUAGAAAGAUAGAAAGAAAUAGAUAGAUAGAUAGAUAUAGAUAGAAAUAGAUAAAUAAAAAAAGAUGGAUAGGGAUGGAUGGAUGGUUAGGUAUGGAUAGAUGGAUGGAUAGGGAUGGAUGGUUAGGGAUGGAUAGAUGGAAAGGGAUGGAUGGAUGGAUAGGGAUGGAUGGAGAGAGUGUGUGUGUGUGUAUAUGUCUUACAUUUUUUUACUACUUGUGUGUUUGCAUAGAAACACUAUAUAUAGAGAUAUCUCAAUAUGUAGUGUUUGUAUACAAACACACAAAUUUUGGCUGAGAAAGGGGGGCUGGUAUAGAAAGCGAGCUGAGCUGUCAGUCAGACAGCUCAGCUCGCGAACGCGCAUUCCGCGCACAUGCGCGGUUGAGCGCUGAGUUUCUUCAUAGGGCGGCAUUCAGUGCUGCUCUAUGAAGAACGCGAUUGGUGCAGUGCGAAGUCGCGCAUGCGCACCACAUUGCGAUGACGCUUCUCAAAGAGAAGCGUCCUAUUGGGUCCUGCGAUUUCAUCAUUUUGACAAAAAGGGGGGCAUAGCCUGGCGGGGAGCUCGGCGCUCGAACGGAGGUAAGUUUUAUUAAAAAUAAAUAAAUUCAAGCACUUUUUAAUAACGGCAAGUUCAUAUAAAAGCAAGAAAGAAGGCUGAGGGACCUGUCUUUCUUGCUUUUAUAUGUUGUCUAUAUUGUCCCUUUAUAUUGGCAUAUUAGCUUGACCACCCAUAUUUUUCUCUCCCUCUGGGUACUGAACGAUCCCAAAAAAAAAGUGCCAAAAACUUCACAUCCUAGAAAACUGUAUCCACAGUCGCUCCCUGGAUAAAGGCAUUUUUGCCGAGACGUUGGGGGUGUUUUGGUGACUGACUUUGUCCCUGCUUCUCACUAGGUCUGGUAUGCUUAAUGCUAUAUUUUUUUUUGUACAUAUAUUUGAGUUUGUGGGGUUGGAUUAGACUGGUAUCUCAUUUCUCUAUUUUUGUAUACUGAGAUUCUGCUAUUCAUAGAAGACACAUUUGGCAUUUAUACAUAUAUAUUCAGAAUUCUUCUGAUCAUUGCUGUAUAGCGUGAUAUGAUCCUAUAUUUUGGAUCCUUAUGUUAUGUGAUAUUCUUAUAGAGUGUACCCACUUUAUAAAGAUUGUUUUAUUAUUAUUGAUGGUUGUGCUCCUUACUCUAUUGUUAUUUACAUGUAUGUGGGCUUUUGGGGAUAGAGUCUCAUGUGAGUGAGCACCCCAUAUUGUAUUUUCAAAGCGCUCCACUUGGGAGCUUGCGUAUAUUUCAUAUUGGGUGUGCCUACCUUAUUUAAUUUUUAACUAUUCACAGUUGACAUGACAAAUGUUCUCCAUGCAGAUUUCUGUUAAUACCCUGUGUCUUUCAUCCCCUCACUUUUUUUCCCUCUCUCUCUCUCUCUCUCUCUCAAAGCUGGUCAAUCUGAUUUGUAUUAUGAAUUUUGUUUUAGCCUAAUUAAUGCAUGCAACUUGAUCUUAAACACUUGCAAUCAGACUCUCAGUGGGUAAAAUUUAUUUCAUCAUUACACUAUAACAACAUUUUUGUUUUGAAGCUCACUAUACUUCACUAUUACAAGUGUGAACUUACAUUUUGCUUUCUUUUUUUUCCUCCAAGGUCCAUCAAUCUCAUCUGGCGUGGGAUCGGCUCCAGGCACAUCUCAGCCAAGUUCUGGUAAGUACACAAACACAAAGGGUAAAUAAAUAAUGAACAGCAUUUAUUCAGCAUUAAAAGGACACUCCACUGCCUAAAUAAAAUAAAAAACAAAUAAAAAUCACUGUUUAGAAGAUGUACCCCCAAUGAAAACAUGCAUCCAUUUAAUAAUGCAUUUUUUCAUUGGGGCUAUAUCUAAAAGCUUGCAGAACCGGCAAGCUGUUAGAUUAGAUUUGCAAGCCCUCCCCUUCUAACCCCACACAGACUUUCCAAUGCAGCUGAAUAAGAAGUUUUUGCAAGGCAGGUGCUCUGGGCAAUUGACUGCCUAUGGAGUUUAGCUCAACAGAGCUAACCAAAUCCAGAAGUAAAUUGACCGGUUAUCUGCUUGAAAGCUAGGGGGUGUUACCAAGUUAAUUUAUAAAAAGUGAAAAUUUCUAAUAAAAUCUGCACUUUUUAUAAAAUGAAAAAAAAGAGGACAAACUCAUACAUAAAGCAUUACUUAUUAUAAAGCGUAACUGGUGCCAAGAGUACCCUGACCCUCUUGCUGGGAACCUGUUCUGCUGUGAAGCAGGAUUUGACAUCUGGCAUAUGCACAGCAGCAGAAGCUGGAUGCAAAUCCUGCUGGCUAUUCACUGGCUGAGAGCAUCAGAUUCAGCGGACAGUUCUCAGCCAAUGAAUGGCACCCAGUGCAAGGAAAGUUGCACAGGACUGCCAUUAGCAAGCCAAUGGCACACUAGUGAACGUUGCCAGAGGUAGAGGUACACCUUUGGGAGUAAAUGGCUUAAUCUCUGUAUGUGCAGCGCUUCCCAGCGAGAGACUGCACAUGCAGACUCCAGACACCAUGACCAAUUCAAAUCACUGAAGUUGUCAUGAUGGUUGGAUUAACCCUUUAACCAAUGCCAUUCUUGAUAAUCCAGCCAAUCUAUGCAGAAUUUGCUUAAAUCACUGAUAGAGGUUUUUUUUCACUUCACUCCCAAGGCUCCCUUUACCUCCAGUAGACAAUUCAAUAGCCAGAUUAGUCUAAGAUUUACUCACAAAAGGUCAAAUAUCUGCUGAAAUCCCAAAAUGGCAUAUAAAAAACUACUAUUGUAAUGCUGAUUUAGAUUUUUAAACUUUACUAUCAAAAAAUGCUAGAGACAUUUCCUUCAGAAUAAGUAGCCUUAAGAGGCGGAGAGUGACAUCAGCAUACUGAAUAGUAGCGAUUUUAACAGCCGCAAAUCUUCGCAAGAUCAAUAAUAAGUCCUGUACAGAACACUUAAAAGAACACUAAAUCACCUAUUGCUAAGGUCAUCUCCCUGCCUGCCCCGAUACUCAUAGAGGAGUAUUGGAUACCUGAUGUGCAUGCAAAAAAAAUAUUUAAUAUAGGGGCUGCAGUCACGUGACAAAGUUGGAAAGCUGCUGAAGGAGUUUCUCAAGCUGACAUGUUUUACAAUGCAUGGUUAAACCUGCAGGACCACAUGCUUUCAUCUUAAAGAAGUGGUCUGGGUGACUAUAGUGUCCCUUUAUAACAUUCUACUUCAAAACAUGUGAUUUGGGGUGAAUUUGCAAGGAAAUUAAACAUCUAGGCCAAAACAGCUUAAAAAUAUUCUCCAAUUCCACUUUUUUACCGUAUCUGCUACUUUAGUCUAGAUCUUGCAGUUCCCUUUCACAUUCAGCCACCUUAACGCACUUUUUAAUUUUUAAAUAUGUAAUCAGAAAAAUGUGCCUUUUUCAAAAAAUGUAUUUUACCAUAAUUAUUGUCUACCUUAAAAACUUAUGUGUACUUUUCAUCCAUCUUUAACAGACUUCCAUAUCCCACAAGGGACAUCCUCUGAUAAGACGACCUGGGCCCAUUUCUCCUCCAUGUAAGUAGAAACUGCAUCUAAACAUGACACGCCAUCAUUACCUAUGCAUUACAUAUAAUGAUGAGUGCUUACCAUAUAAAACACUUUAAAGUCGUUAACAAUCCAUCUUCAAAUUCACACACACACACACACACAUCAACUCUCAAUCAGCUCUAACACUAGUUAUCAGACAAUUAUCCAUUCUCGGGUAGUACUAAGAUCACAGUUCAAUUCUGAUUUAAAUUACAAUUAUAAAUGCAUUAAUGUUGUGCUUGUAUAUACAGAAAAUAUCAUACAAGUGCAUACAUACAUAGUAUACAGCAGGGUUACUGUAUCUUUUUAACUAGAUACAAUUUUAAUCUCCUAAAAGGACCACUGUAGGCACCCAGACCACUUCAGGUCCCCCUAGUUUUAACCAUGCAGCUGAAAACAUAGAAGUUUCAUAGAAACUGCUAUGUUUACACUGCAGGCUUAAAGGACCACUAUAGUGCCAGGAAGGGGUCAAUCCCUUACCUGGGGACUCUCCUCCCUCUUCUGACAUCCCUGGCUGAAUGCGCGCGUGGCUUUCCUAUGGACGCUGGCGUCUUCUCACUGUGAAAAAUCACACAGUGAGAAGCGCCUCUAGCAGCUGUCAAUGAGACAGCCACUAGAGGCUGGAUUAACCCUAAAGUAAACAUAGCAGUUUCGUUCACAUUCAAAAGGGUUAAACGUAGCUGGACCUGGCACCCAGACCACUUCAUUAAGCUGAAGUGGUCUGGGUGCCUAUAGUGGUCCUUUCUCCCUGACAGCAACCAGAGGCCACUUCCGCAAUUUACACAGAGUAAAUCGCACUUUUUUGACGCUGGACGUCCUCACGGAGUCAAGUGUCAAAAAUUAACCCCAUAGUAAAGUAUUGAGUAAUGCUUUCCUAUGGGCGUGUUUGAAUGCGCAUGCGCCUCUGGCCGCACAUGCGCAUUCGGCUCCACUCGGAAGCUGACUUCGAUGGAGGAUAGGUCACCAGUGCCGAAGGAGCCCGGCACUGGAUUAAGGUAAGCAAAUAAAUGGUUAAUGUAUAAACUGUGACUAGAGCUCUUUAGCGUUAGGAAUACAUAUAUGUAUUCCUAACGCUAUAGUGUUCCUUUAACUGGUAGCACAAUUAGAAUUGAUUAACAUUGCUAUAAAUCCUCCUUAGAUAUAAAUUGUUACUAACAUUGCCUAUUUCAGGUCUAAUGCAGUCUGUUGGGAGAGGCGA